AAGAUUUUAGUAUAUUAAUAAUACACUACCUUGUCAAGGCAAAAAUGCGGGUUAAAACCCCACAAAUCU
rnacentral:tRNA from 1 species